CCCUUAGAUGUCCUGGGCCGCACGCGCGCUACACUGAUGCAUUCAACGAGUUUUUCCUUGGCCGAGAGGCCUGGGCAAUCUUUUGAACGUGCAUCGUGAUAGGGAUAGACUAUUGCAAUUAUUAAUCUUGAACGAGGAAUUCCUAGUAAACGCAGAUCAUCAAUCUGCAUUGAUUACGUCCCUGCCCUUUGUACACACCGCCCGUCGCACCUACCGAUUGAAUGGUCCGGUGAAGCCUCGGGAUUGUGGCGAGUUCCCUUUAUUGGGAGUUUGUCGCGAGAACUUGUCUAAACCUUAUCAUUUAGAGGAAGGUGAAGUCGUAACA
rnacentral:rRNA from 1 species